GUUGGAAACGACUGCUAAUACCGCAUACNCCCUACGGCGNAAAGGAGGUAACCUUCGGGCCUUCCGCGAUUGGAUGAACCUAGGUGGGAUUAGCUANUUGGUGAGGUAAUGGCUCACCAAGGCGACGAUCCCUAGCUGUUCUGAGAGGAUGAUCAGCCACACUGGGACUGAGACACGGCCCAGACUCCUACGGGAGGCAGCAGUGGGGAAUAUUGCNCAAUGGGGGAAACCCUGAUGGCACCCAUGNCGCGUGUGUGAAGAAGGCCUUCGGGUUGUAAAGCACUUUCAGUAGGGAGGAAAGGGUGUANNUUAAUACGCUAUAUCUGUGACGUUACCUACAGAAGAAGGACCGGCUAACUCCGUGCCAGCAGCCGCGGUAAUACGGAGGGUCCGAGCGUUAAUCGGAAUUACUGGGCGUAAAGCGUGCGCAGGCGGUUUGUUAAGCGAGAUGUGAAAGCCCUGGGCUCAACCUAGGAAUAGCAUUUCGAACUGGCGAACUAGAGUCUUGUAGAGGGGGGUAGAAUUCCAGGUGUAGCGGUGAAAUGCGUAGAGAUCUGGAGGAAUACCGGUGGCGAAGGCGGCCCCCUGGACAAAGACUGACGCUCAUGCACGAAAGCGUGGGGAGCAACAGGAUUANAUACCCUGGUAGUCCACGCCGUA
rnacentral:rRNA from 1 species